GGCAACAGUGAGGAAGCCUAUCUCUAGCAUAUGUACGGUACAUAAUGUACCGUCUUCUUCCUCUGCUCCAUCCCCAAAUCGGACCGACCCGGCCUCCUCCUCCCCGCAUCGGCGCUGCUGCCCCGCCUCCCCACUCCGCGUCCAACCCAGCCUCAGGCGGCUGGGCAGAGUCUCUUCCCUCCCUUCUAUCCCCGCCUUUCUCCUCACCCGCUAUCCACUGGCAGAGCCCCAUGCUCGUCAGAGCUCGCCCGGCCACCAACUCCGAAAGCAGUACCGACUACCAAGUUGAGCCUGUUGUCCCCUGCGCGGCUGCGCCACGGAUCAGCCGGUGGAUGCCCAGGGUCGGCGAGCAGCGGCCGCAUGUCCGCGUCGAGGAGGGUCAGCCGCAACAUCACCACCGAGGAGCUAGUGGUCCUCCUUUUCGCAGCAGGAGCUGACCAGCCCGCAGCUCCCCGCCGACGACGCAACCUGCAUCGAGGUCGGCUACGUCGCGCAGCAGCUGCUCUAGUGGGACGGCCUCAGUGGCUGGUUCUCGUUGCCACGGCGACCUUGCCGCCGCAGUCCUGUCCUGACCCUCAGGCCUAACUGGCGGAAGGACGGGGAUGCGAGGUGUUCUUGUAUCAUGGUUGCGGCCACAGGCUGCAUUCGCCAUCGUGUGGGUCGAGCUUUUCCAUUGCAUGGACAUGAAGAGAGUGAUGCACGGAGGCCGCGCUCGGUGGUUCAUGGGGGCAGCGGGGGUCGUGGCGAAGCGGGCGGGUCGGGUCGGGUGGAGCCGGACGCCCUUGCCGAGGUGACGGCACAUGGCGCCUUGAAUCCAUGCACGACCGCGGAAUGGAUGGAUCCGGCGGCGAGGAGUGUUAUACUGCCAGUCUGCCAAUAUACUGGAGCAAGUGGGGCUAGAAUUCACAGAAACCGGUCGCUGAGUGAAGAAAGUGAGAGAAUAACAAAUAGAAUACAAAGGGGUUCAUAACAUACCUGGAGAGAAAUGAGUUCAGAAGAACAUCUAUUUAAUUUUCUUAAGGCCAGCACUAACCAUUCCUCACAAUUCUGUCCAGGCCUUAGAGCAUGACCUCACAGAGAAGUAUAUUGCCGCUGAAUGAAAUUUAUACAUUGAGCAAC